ensembl:lncRNA
GCGUUAUACAUAAUCUGACAAUAUGUGACUAUAAAUGACAUUGAUAGUGGGGACAUUUUUAUCAAAUGAAUCAACUGAAAGGCCAAACAGGAACAGUGUGGCAAUUCCUUUUGACUUCUAGAGCUAGAUUCAAUCCGUACCAAAAGGAAAAAAAGAAAUGUUCCUGCGUUCGAGGAGACUGCAUUCACGGUAAAUGUUGGAUAUGUUGAGUCAAUCGGAAAUUACCUUUAAAUUUCAAUCGUGCUAUACAACGGACCUUCCAUGCUACAGAUUGAAUGUAGGCCUUAGUCUCCACAGUUGUCAGAAAUAAGUUGAAUUAGAUAUUGCUUGUGUCAUUGCCGACAGCAAAGAACACUGAAUUGAGGAAAUUGUUACACGUGUAACAAGAAGUAAAUAUUUGACAUUGAGUUGUAAAAUGUUUACUCUUGUGAGUGGUAACCUCACUGGCACUCUGUGUAAUGACAACCAGUAAUACAUGUCAUUUCAGACUUUAAGAAUAGUCUCUUUCUGCUGCAUUCUCAUAACAUUGUCAAAUCGGUCUUUAAACUCUGAUAUGACUUAUCCAUAAACACUGAAUGUACAUACACUAUCCUUCAGAAAUGUAUUAGAAAUAUUCCAAAAUACAAUUUGUGUCCAUAAUUUGGUGUUUAUUUAUGUAUAUUACAUAUACAAUUAAACAGGCAAAAUAAUGAAUGAUUUAAACUAUCCGGUCUGCCGGUAUUAAAAAAAAUAAGUCAUUAGAUGUAGUUUUCAAAAUGUAUGUCAUAAACAUUGAUGAAUAAACAGCAUUAUGAUAUAUCCCACAGGGCACAGGCAUCAAUUCAACUUAUAUUCCACGUUGGUUCAACGCCAUUUCAUUGAAAUGACGUGGAAACAACGUUGAUUCAACCAGUUUGUCCCCAGUGGGAUGUAUCUCUUUGGAAAGUGCCUGUCACCUAUUGUAUGUGGUCAAGGUUAUGAUGAUUUUGGGUGCUGGGGUUGAGAGAAGCGGUGGCUGUGGUGCUAGCCGGUGUUGAGGUGUCAGAUCAGUUGAUACGGUUGCCCAGGAUGAUGGCAGAGACGAUGUACAGGACGAUGACGGUGAUGCCGAUACCCAGAGCGGUGUGGUUCAGUAUCCGCGCUAGACGAGAAUUCUUCUCAGCAAUCUGCUGAUGACCCUGGUUGUUGGCGUCUCUAGUCUGAGAGCAGAGAGCA